rnacentral:rRNA from 1 species
UCAGGACGAACGCUGGCGGCGUGCUUAACACAUGCAAGUCGAACGAUGAAGCCUUCGGGUGGAUUAGUGGCGAACGGGUGAGUAACACGUGGGCAAUCUGCCCUGCACUCUGGGACAAGCCCUGGAAACGGGGUCUAAUACCGGAUGACACUGUUCCCCUCAUGGGGAGCGGUUGAAAGCUCCGGCGGUGCAGGAUGAGCCCACGGCCUAUCAGCUUGUUGGUGGGGUAAUGGCCUACCAAGGCGACGACGGGUAGCCGGCCUGAGAGGGCGACCGGCCACACUGGGACUGAGACACGGCCCAGACUCCUACGGGAGGCAGCAGUGGGGAAUAUUGCACAAUGGGCGAAAGCCUGAUGCAGCGACGCCGCGUGAGGGAUGACGGCCUUCGGGUUGUAAACCUCUUUCAGCAGGGAAGAAGCGAAAGUGACGGUACCUGCAGAAGAAGCGCCGGCUAACUACGUGCCAGCAGCCGCGGUAAUACGUAGGGCGCAAGCGUUGUCCGGAAUUAUUGGGCGUAAAGAGCUCGUAGGCGGUCUGUCACGUCGGGUGUGAAAGCCCGGGGCUUAACCCCGGGUC